UUUGUGGUGGAUGAUUGCUAUAAAAAAAUUCCGAAGAUCAAGUUUGAUUGGGGACAUGGAAAAUGGUAUCAAGUCGAAAGCAUCUCCCCAUAUGAAGAAAAUGGAAUCCAGUUACCGAGUAACAUUUCGUUUGGCAUGCUUAUCAGUAAAAAAUUUUCGUUUGACAUAAAGCUCCAGAAUCAGUUGAGCUGCGAGUCCAUCAGCAAUCUGAGUCUUCCCAAUCUCACAUACGCAUCUUUUCAAAUUGACUCCAGUCUAACAACCAUAUACAAAUGCAACCACCCUGUAGAUUUUCCAGAACUUUCUUUUAAUUUUAUUAGUUAUAGAAAGUGCCCCGACUUCAAAAUCUAUUAUCCUAAGAAGGAUAAUGCAAGUGUACUAAGGUCUCUGCGUAACUGCUCAAUUGUGAAGCUCCCACUAAACACAAACAAUGAUCAUGACGACAUAUUCCGAAUGUCAGCUGCUAACUUCUCUCUGAAUGUCAGCAUAUGGCCUGAUUGUCAUCUCUGUCAUUUACGUGGUGGAGAAUGUAAAGAAUGUAUUGGUGAAGAGGGAAAAAAACCACCUCCUGGUCCUCAACCACCUGUGCCUCCUCCAAAAAGGACAGAAAGACACAAAGG
rnacentral:misc_RNA from 1 species